UAAGUGUAAUUAGCAUUUUCUUUAAUAAAAAAGGGGAAGGAAAAAAAGUUGGAAAAAAUAAUUGAUGUGUAUGUACUAUAUGUUAUCCUGAUGGUCUUUGGAGUAUAACUAGUAAUCAGUAUUCAUAAAGAAUCAGCACUUCAGGUACUAAGGAGGAGGAGCAGCAAGCAAAAAUCAUGUAUGCGCCGCCAGCUUAUCAAGAAAUGUCAUACUACGAUCAUAUCCAGCGACGCCGUGAAGAGAAAGGCAACCUUUAUGCUUGCUUGUUCGCGUUGUGCUGCUGUUUCUGUUGCUACGAGACAUGUGAGUGCUGCUUGGACUGCUUAUGCUGUUGUUUUCCUUGAACUCGAUUGUGUAUUAUUACUCAUGUUAUAUUUGGAAGUGUAAUAAAGAUGAAGAUAAGUUUUGUGUA